rnacentral:misc_RNA from 1 species
AACGCACAUUGCACUCUAUGGUAUUCCGUAGAGUAUGCCUGUUUCAGUAUCAUGAACACCUCACUACUAUAACUUUAUUGUUAUGAUAGUGGAUUUGGAAUGCGCUGGUGUUAGUCAGCCCUUCUAAAAUGGAGUUCUUGCACUGUUGAUUUGUUUUAACAGCAAUGUUGGCCUAAUAAGUUUCAGCAGCAAUGUUGAAAUCACUGGCUUUUUUUGCUUAGAAUCGGACAGUCUUGAUAUACAGAAUUUUUGAGGUGACUUUUGUCUCCUCUUCAAAUUUUGAUCUGAAAUCAGGUAGGAUUACCCGCUGAACUUAA